CGGAGGCGGCGGCGGGAGCAUGCGGGGCGGCUGGCGGCCCGCGGCGCGCAGCGCGUUCUUUCCCCGGCGGUGGCGGCGGCGCGCAGCGGCUCUCGCGUGAGCGGCGGCGGCCGGAGCGGCCGGCAGGGCGCCGGAAGGGCGGGCGGCGGGGCCCGCGGCUGCGAGGCGGGCCGGGCCGGGCGGCGGCGGCGGCGGCGCCAUGUGGAGCGGCCGCAGCUCCUUCACCAGCCUGGUCGUGGGCGUGUUCGUGGUGUACGUGGUGCACACCUGCUGGGUCAUGUAUGGCAUCGUCUACACCCGCCCGUGCGCCGGCGACGGCAACUGCAUCCAGCCCUACCUGGCGCGGAGGCCCAAGCUGCAGCUCAGCGUGUACACCGCCACACGGUCCAACCUGGGUGCCGAGAACAACGUGGACCUGGUCUUGAACGUGGAGGACUUUGACGUGGAGUCCAAAUUUGAAAGGACAGUCAAUGUUUCUGUUCCAAAGAAAACCAGGAACAACGGGACGCUGUAUGCCUACAUCUUUGUCCAUCACGCCGGCGUCCUGCCCUGGCACGACGGGAAGCAGGUGCACCUGGUGAGCCCGCUGACCACCUACAUGGUCCCCAAACCGGAAGAGGUGAACCUGCUCACUGGGGAAUCUGCCACGCAGCAGCAGAUCGAGGCUGAGAAGAGGCCAGCGAGUGCCCUGGACGAACCCGUGUCUCACUGGAGACCAAGGCUGACCCUGAACGUGAUGGUGGAUGACUUUGUCUUUGACGGGGCCUCCCUGCCCGCCGAUGUGCAUCGGUACAUGAAGAUGAUCCGGCUGGGUAAGACGGUGCACUACCUGCCCAUCCUGUUCAUCGAUCAGCUCAGCAGCCGGGUCAAGGACCUCACGGUCAUCAACCGCUCCACCACCGAGCUGCCCCUCACCGUGUCCUACGACAAGAUCUCGCUGGGGCGGCUGCGCUUCUGGAUCCACAUGCAGGACGCCGUGUUCUCACUGCAGCAGUUCGGGUUUUCAGAGAAGGACGCUGACGAAGUGAAAGGGAUUUUCGUCGACACCAACUUGUAUUUCUUAGCGCUGACCUUCUUCGUGGCCGCGUUCCACCUGCUUUUUGAUUUCCUAGCGUUUAAAAAUGACAUCAGUUUCUGGAAGAAAAAGAAGAGCAUGACCGGAAUGUCCACCAAAGCAGUGCUCUGGCGCUGCUUCAGCACCGUGGUCAUCUUCCUGUUCCUGCUGGACGAGCGGACGAGCCUGCUGGUGCUGGUUCCUGCAGGCAUCGGGGCUGCCAUCGAGCUGUGGAAAGUGAAAAAGGCCUUGAAGGUGACCGUCAUCUGGAGAGGCCUGAGGCCCGCAUUUCAGUUCGGCACUUACAGUGAAUCUGAAAGGCAGACGGAGGAGUAUGACACUCAGGCCAUGAAAUACUUGUCGUACCUCCUUUACCCUCUCUGCAUCGGGGGCGCCGUCUAUUCUCUGCUGAAUGUCAGAUAUAAGAGCUGGUACUCCUGGUUGGUCAGCAGCUUCGUCAAUGGAGUCUAUGCCUUUGGCUUCCUCUUCAUGUUGCCCCAGCUCUUCGUGAACUACAAGAUGAAGUCGGUGGCUCACCUGCCCUGGAAGGCCUUCACCUACAAGAACCGGUUGGCCGUUCUCGGGCAGGCAGGCACCGUGAUAGCCAGGCUCCCAGGUGGUGCUCCUGGGUCCCGCGUGCGGAGAGCAGGCCUUCAACACCUUCAUUGACGACGUGUUCGCCUUCAUCAUCACCAUGCCCACCUCCCACCGGCUGGCCUGCUUCAGGGACGACGUGGUGUUUCUCGUGUACCUUUACCAGCGAUGGCUUUAUCCCGUGGAUAAGAGCAGAGUGAACGAGUUCGGGGAGUCCUACGAGGGGAAUCCCCAGCGGAAACCCCACGAAGACUGAGCCCGACCCUGGCUGCUCGCAGCCACGCAGAGGCUUUGGUGGAACUUCCUGACAUCACGCCCCCUGCGUUGCCAAAACCCCGAAUGUCCCUCACGUCCCCGGGUUCCGUCACGCUGUGUCUGACGGGAGCUGGCAGCACUGCCGCCGCUGCCCGCGUGGACAUCUGUCCGGUCACCAUGGCUGCGGGAGCGUCCGGUGCUGGCGGGGGCUGCGCUGUCACUGCCCUGCCCCCACCCGGGGGAGUUCGUCUCGGGGUCUGUAAACAGUCCUUGAGGGGAUAUCAGACGCCUUUUUGAAUCCAUUCCGUGCAGACUCUGGGAUCAAACGGCUUUUUUCCUUUUUGUUUAAAAUUUGACUAUUUUAAGGCUUAAUGUAUGUAUGUUUCUAUUUUAAAAUAAAUUUCUCUGGCUGUAA